CGUUGGCCUGGAUCGGCACCAGCGGCAGCUCCAGCCUGCCGCGCAGCCAGGCGGCGUUGGAGCCGCCGGCGAUCACC
rnacentral:tRNA from 1 species